rnacentral:rRNA from 1 species
GACAGAGGGUGCGAACGUUGUUCGGAAUUACUGGGCGUAAAGCGCGUGUAGGCGGCAAUGCAAGUCGGGCGUGAAACCCCACGGCUCAACCGUGGAAGUGCACUCGAAACUGCAUAGCUAGAGUCCUGGAGAGGAAGGUGGAAUGCUUGGUGUAGAGGUGAAAUUCGUAGAUAUCAAGCGGAACACCGGUGGCGAAGGCGGCCUUCUGGACAGUGACUGACGCUGAGACGCGAAAGCGUGGGGAGCAAACAGG